GACGAACGCUGGCGGCGUGCUUAACACAUGCAAGUCGAACGAGAGCGUAGAGAAAGCUUGCUUUUUCUACAAUCUAGUGGCAAACGGGUGAGUAACGCGUAAACAACCUGCCCUACGGAUGGGGACAACAGCUGGAAACGGCUGCUAAUACCGAAUACGUUCCGAAAGUCGCAUGACUAUCGGAAGAAAGGAUGGCCUCUAUUUAUAAGCUAUCGCCGGAGGAGGGGUUUGCGUCUGAUUAGCUAGUUGGAGGGGUAACGGCCCACCAAGGCGACGAUCAGUAGCCGGCCUGAGAGGAUGCACGGCCACAUUGGCACGGGGACACGGUCCAGAAUACUACGGGAGGCAGCCGUGGGGAAUCUCCCGCAAUGGGAGCAAGCCUGACGGAGCAACGCCGCGUGAGUGAAGACGGCCUUCGGGUUGUAAAGCUCUGUUAUACGGGACGAAUAAACUUGUGGUUAAUACCCAUGAGAAGUGACGGUACCGUAAGAGAAAGCCACGGCUAACUACGUG
rnacentral:rRNA from 1 species